rnacentral:rRNA from 1 species
CCUACGGGCGGCUGCAGUCGAGAAUUUUUGGCAAUGGGCGAAAGCCUGACCAAGCGAUGCCGCGUGCGGGAUGAAGGCCUUCGGGUUGUAAACCGCUGUCAGUGGGGAGGAAAGCUUUGUGAAGAGCAAGGCUUGACCUCUCCGCAGAGGAAGUGUGGGCUAAGUUCGUGCCAGCAGCCGCGGUAAGACGAACCACACAACGGUUAUUCGGAAUUACUGGGCUUAAAAGGUGCCGCAGCAGCGCGGGUGUGAAAUACCUCGGCUCAACCGAGGAACUGCGCCCAAAACUACUGUGCUUGAGGAAGAUAGAGGUAAGCGGAACUUACGGUGGAGCGGUGAAAUGCGUUGAUAUCGUAAGGAACACCUGUGGCGAAAGCGGCUUACUGGGUCUUUUCUGACGCUGAUGCACGAAAGCUAGGGGAGCAAACGGGAUUAGAUACCCGAGUAGUC